CUUUUAGGUAUAUGACGCUAAAAACUAAACCGACGAAAAAAGUAGGAAAUUUAAAAAUUUCUGUUUCAUUUUGCGUCUGUUAUUAAAACUCGUGUAUUGUAUUAGCGAGCUUUUAAAAACGACGCAAAAUACAAUAAUAAAAGUUAAUAACCGACGCAAAAAACAAAAGUGAAAUCCCUCAAACUAAAAAAUGCAAAAUCCUCGACCCUCUCUCUUCAUAUGAUUUUCUUCAGCCGCAUCUCCUCUUCAACCCUCUCCCUAAACGCAAAACCCUUACGAUUAUCUUCAGCCGCAUCUCCUCUUCAGACGACGGUGAGAAUUCACCCUAACCACCUCCUCUUCAGUCGAUUGGACGGUGGUCUGUGGUCUCUCUUCUCCCGUGAGUUCCUUCGUACAGCCUCCGGUGGUUUCUGUGUUCCUUCCCUCAAAGCCUCUAAUGGUCAAAACCUCCCGUGAGCUCCUUCAGACGAUUCGACGGUGGUGAGGCAGUCAUUGGUGGUGGAGAAAAAAAGCUGCAGAAGAAGAACCCAGUGGCCCACGAUGGGAAAAAUCGCAGAGCUCUUGGUGAUAUUGGGAAUAUGGUACCUGCUGCUAGAGGAGGAGUUGAAGGCAAACCUAAUCACCCCAUGACAAGGUUUUUCUCUCUUUCUCUCUGUACAACAAUAUGUGUUUGGUUUCUUAAUGUGUUGUUUGUCUUUGCUAAGUUUUUAUUUAUAUUUUCUUCAAGAGUUUUCAUGUUUAAUUAUUUGCUAACGCUGAAGCCGCUAGAGCUGCUGAGAAGAACAAGGUUAGUAUUUUGAUAAAAAAUUUAAUUUUUAUAACAACUUUCUAGAGUUCUGGUAAUUGAUUUGGUAUGCUCUUUUCAAACUAUGCUAUGCAGAAACAGAUGGUGGUUCCUGAUGAUGGGAGAAGAAUUGAGGCACUAGAGGCCAACAAAAUUAAUAAGAUCGUUAAUGUUAAGCCUAAGCCCAUAGAGGCGAUUGAUCUAUCCUCAAACACAGAGAAAGUCAAGAAGAAGCCUGAGAAGCCUUUGAACAACAUGGAAAAAGAAGUAGAAGUUGGGGGAGGGGCCUUAAGAAAGAAAGCACCAACACUUACUCCAGUUCUUACUACUAGAAGCAAGGCGCAGAUAGUUGACAUACAUGCAACAGAUGUAGACAACAAGCUGGAAAGACAAAUCGAUACGGUGUUUUCAUACACACGAUUAUGCAAGGCAUUUUGUGAGUGCUUGUACUCAUAUACUUGGGCUAGAGGGUACACCUGAAGGAGUAGAGGACCAAGGAAAGCUUACUCGAGUUGCAGUGGUAGAACUACAGUUUCCUAUUGGCAUAAACUCUGACCGGUUUGUUCGAGCUUUGAAAAUUCCUGAAGUCCAGGAACACAUGAAAGAACUGAAAGAAAGAUUUGCUGGCAGGAAGAUCAAAAGCUUACAAGACAAGUUCAUGAGAUUGUGGGACACAUUAAUGGGAGAUUCGAAACUCUUACUGCUGUUCCCAUACACCAUCUGGUUUGUCUUUUUUAUUUUUUUUUUAUAUAUAUAUAUUAAAAAUUAGAACUACUUUAAAGUGAUAUUACUUGUAAUAUUUAACAUAAGCUUUUGGUAAAUUGCUUGAGAAGGUUUCAAGUGAUCUUCUUUGUUCUGUUUUGACUAUCUUGAGACAUUUUUGUUUAAAGAAGAAUGAAACGUCUGAAUUCAGGUCUA